rnacentral:rRNA from 1 species
AUGAGAGGAAUCGGUACGCGCACCCGGCAGAGAGGGCAGGCGGGCCUUCUCCAGGUCCAGGCUGCCUGCCCGCGGUGCCGGCGCCCAGAUGACACGCGGGGCCCACCUCCCCCGAUUUUUCCCUGCACGCUGCAGGUGCAGGUGCAGGUGCAAAGCCAGACCGCCGGAUCCAACCGAUCUGCCUGCAUGAUGAGUGCCGCCUCUGGCCUUUGCUCUGCUUUUCCCCUUGGCUUUGCUUGCGGCCGCCCUCUCCUCUCCUGCUCUUUGCGUGUGUGCCAGCCACUUGGGCGUGCAAUUGCUAGCUGCAAUUGCAUGUACCGUCUUUCCUUUCCUUUUCUUUUCCAACUGCAUUAUUGGCGGCGAUGA